GAGAGAUGGCCGAGUGGUUGAUAGCUCCGGUCUUGAAAACCGGUAUAGUUUGUAAAGAACUAUCGAGGGUUCGAAUCCCUCUCUCUCCU
rnacentral:tRNA from 1 species